AUAAUACAGGGUCGUGAAAUGAAAAGGGGAAUUAGGGUUUGGGUAGCGGUGGCGAUCGGUUUGUUUGGAUAGUUGGACAGCAGCGAUGAUCGCCCGUGGCUGGGUCCAGAAUGAGCGGUGUUGCAGGAGGGACGAAGGUCGUGGAGGGGUUUGGAGGCGUGGCUGUUGGGAGAAGGAAGCCUAAUGUUGGCGGAGGAUGUUGGUGGAGGAUAAUAUUCUAUGAGUUUGGGCGUUUAGGGUUGUUGACCAUUAAUUGAAUCGAUUGAAUUGUUGUUCAAGAAUCAUCGGGUUCUUUUCUCUCUCUAGAUUGCUGGGUUCUUGUGGAAUUGCUCGGUUCUAUGUUCUUUUCCGAAUCCGCUGCUUCUCAAUCUUGUUGGGAUUUGAUUGACUGGUUGAAGUUGGUACCGAUGCCAAAAGGAUUGAGGGACAAGCUUCUCAUUUGGGCUUUUUUUAUGUUCUUGUGCUGCUAUGCGUGGGAAAGGUUUUUGAGAUGGGCUUUCCUUGGUAAGAUGCCAGUGUUGAAGAAGCGACAACGGUCAGAUAAGUGAUAUGGUUGCAAUAGCCAAAAUAAUGAAUGCUACCCUGGUUAUUCCUUCCUUGGAUCACUCAUCCUUUUGGACUGACCCAAGGUGAAAACAGAAAAGUUUCAACUACUGCUAGAUACAGAAAGGUAAAUACUCCCAGAGUUUUGCAUGCGUGUGUUCUUGUUGGGUGCACAUCAUACAAUGAAGCUGCCUCAGUUCCCAUUACCCACUCACAAUGUUGUUGUGAGAGGACAUUCUCCGCUGGAGUUUGAGUUUUGUCUUCUAUGAUCAAGGGAAAGAACGAAGAAGUGUCAGCAUCUGAGCUGUCUGGUGGAUCAAGAAUUCAUUAUAUAUUCCAAUGAAGAGUUUGGAGAUGUUUUUAAUGUAAUAAAAAAAUUCGUUAUAGAUUCCAAUCAAUAUUUCUGAAGAGUUUGGAGAUGUUUUUAAUGUAAUAAACAACUAUAUUUUUUAUUAUUAAGAAAUAAUUGUUUGUUAA